rnacentral:rRNA from 1 species
GGCUGCAACUCGCCUGCACGAAGUCGGAAUUGCUAGUAAUCGUAGGUCAGCAUACUACGGUGAAUACGUUCCCGGGCCUUGUACACACCGCCCGUCAAACCAUGAGAGUUGGCAACACCCGAAGUCGGUAGUCUAACCGCAAGGAGGACGCCGCCGAAGGUGGGGUUGAUGAUUAGGGUUAAGUCGUAACAAGGUACC